rnacentral:rRNA from 11 species
CUGUAUACACUUAUUUAAAUGAAUAUCCUAGGUCCCAUCUGAUCUUGAAAUUAAGAAGGCCCGGGCCUGGUUAAUACUUGAAUGGGAGCCCGCCAAGAGUACCAGGGUAUAUAUCAGA